AUCCCUUGUUCCCCUUAGCAUCCCAAAAUAACCCUAAAGUCCCCCACACGAUAACUAGGGUUUUUUCACUUCAACAUUCUCAAGAAGGUCCAUCUAGGGUACGACUACAACACUUCAUCUCACUGGCCGACGACCUCAUCAGGUGCGCCUCAGUGAUCACUUCACCGGCGGCUGUGACUCAUCAGCGUCACCGUGUCGGAGACUGCUUCCCGACCCUAGUUUCCAUCUACGUCUGCCUCCUAAAACAUAUGACGAUACCUUGUUUGAUCCUCUAUCGGGAAGCUUGAUGUUGAAUCCCUUGUAAGUUAAACAGUUGGACAUGAUUGUCAAAUACGAUUGGAAUUUUGAUCAUUACUUUGAAGAAGACGUUCCUGCUACGGUGAGGUGAUAUUAAUAUAUAAUUUCCCAUUUUACCCUUCCGUAUCUACAGAUAUAUUGUUAAACAAAUAGUGUUUCUAAAUUAUAACAACAGAUGGAAUAUAUAAAGGCCCAUACUAAACCAGAAGAUGGUAAAUUGGUUGUUGUAGGACACUCCAUGGGUAUUGAAAAAGCUCGUAUUAAACAAUUUCUGUAAGUAUAUCAUAUUUUGUAAUGACAUUUUAGUAAUAAUAAAUAAUUAUCGAGCUUUUUUUUAAAAUUUUUUGAAGGUACGAUACCUGCUAAACUGUUGUUGCAGCUGACAUCAGCGUUUUGUGAGGGUGGUUUAUGUAGCAGAAGUGGGAGAUUUUUUUUAUAAAGAUCAUAUUAAUAAAAUCAAUGUUCCUGUGUUGGCUAUUGCAGGGGAUCGAGAUGCAAUAACUUUAUAGGAAGUGCACAUGAUGUGUUUGUGGAAAUGCCCAAGAGAAGGUAAUAUGUUUGUAUUAUCUGAUAUGAUUCCAAUAAGCUUCUCUUCUUGCUCUUUUGUUCUGUUAAAAAGGGUAUCAAAAUGCUGGACUUGAAAAAAUAGCUCUAUGGAAGCUGUUAAUAUGUUUAAAGGAAGUGCACAUGACGUGUUUGUGGAAAUGCCCAAGAGAAGGUAAUAUGUUUGUAUUAUCUUAUAUGAUCCCAAAUUGGUCAGUCUGAACUAUACAAGUGUGAACUAUACAGAUAGUUGCAUUCGCGUAAUGGCUUUUGGCUUGCUACCAAACAAAAACUUCUUUUAAUUACCUAAAUAAUUAAUAUAUUAAAUACUAAUUCAAAAAAGUGAAAAACAUUGAUCAAAAUCAUGCAACAUGUUGUAAAUACUUUAAUAUACCUUGAAUACCAUAUUUGUUUUAGCUAACAAAUUUAAUAUUUACUCAUUAGGCCCAAUUGGCAUAUCAUAAAGGCAAACACAUAAAAUUUAUAACAGUCACAAUUCAUAAACCACAUAUUUUUAUUAAAUAUAUCCACUAAUUAAAGCUAGAGCUUGAAAUAGCUUCAUGCAUUAAGCUUUGGUACCCAUCCAACAAUCACAUAUUCUUCAACAGCUUUGGUUUUCUCAAAUGACUCCAAAGCAAACAAAGACUGCACCAAAUAAAUCAUAAGUUUUUAUGCACAUGAUUAUAAAUAAAUAAAUAAAUAAGAAUCAUAUUUAUGUGAAAUAAAUAAAUAAACAAAGACUGCACCAAAUAAAUCAUUCUGAUUCCAGCCAAGUAUCUCCAAAGACUGUUUUUGUUUUUUUUCCUCCCUUUUAAUUUGCAGAAUGAUGUUGAGUCUGGAUAUUUUAACAAAUGGCUUAUGGAACAUCACUGUGUUUCAUUGGUAAAAAAAUUACAUUUUCUUUUAAUUUUUCAUGUUCAGCUGCUUAAUUGUUUUUCUUUUUUCUUACACAUCAGAAUAGUUGAAGAACAAUGAUGGAUCAUGUAAGCACUAAUUGGUGCAAAUACAUUCUAUUAUGUUUUUAGACCUUUGAAAUAAAUCAAUUUCAUUUCUAUUUUUCUAUCUCAAAAUUCUAAUCGGUGCAAAUACAUUCUAUUAUGUUUUUAGAACUUGGGGUUGAUGAUAAACAACUUGACGAAGAAUUCUAGGAAGAAUAGUUUACUGAACGAUUUGAAAUCCCAAUCUCUAUAUAUUUUCUUAUUUGAAUUUUCAUUUUGAAACACAAUUAUUUUGAAAAAAAAUACUAAUUGAUAAGUUAAUGGUUCCAGAUCGUGCAUUAUCUAGCUCGUUCUGGAGGUAAAUGGAACCACUGUUUGGGUUUGUAUAGGACGUGGACAUGUCGUAUUUAAAGCAAGAGGGAAGCAUUCAGGCUACUUUUAUAGAUAGUGUCGGUGCAGUUUCUAAUGAACAAAAACCAGAAGCCCUGAACAUUUUGCAAGUCCAGGGGAGAUUCUUAUUGAGAUUAAGAGUAUUGGAAUUUAUCUAGAGCUAGUGGUUAUUAGAUGAAGUCAACAAAGUCUGCUUUGUGGCAUCACUUGACUACAGGUGACUUGAGAGUCCAUCGCAGAUAUUUGCGAUCAACUUAUGCUUCAGAUUGCUUCACAAGGCGUUGCAUUUCAAGACGAAUGGUCGUAUGUUAUGUAGAGUUGCAGACUCAAAACUUCUUUGAGAUACUGUUAUCAAUAAGUCCUAAAAGAUUGUUGAAACAGUUGAUAUUGUGGACUCUUUUCAGGCUUUACCACAAUUUGGUCUCCUCUCUCCUGUUAGAGUUUGCUCAAAUUGUUAUAAUUAUGCAUCUUGGAUUGGAAAUUCUGAUGGAGUUGCUUCUGUGAAUGGAGUAAAUUCUGUGACAGAUUCGGUUUCAAGGCUAGAUAUUAGUACACCUUCAAAUUCCAAUACAAAUCAAAGUGCUGCUGUAGAUUGCAAGUGUGGAAUGCCUUUAUGUAUUUGUGAGGUGCCUUCAAAUGAUGAUGUGGCUCCUAUGCAGGCAAGUCAUACUCAUUUUAAUCACCUUCAUUUGCAUCAUACUAAGAACCUUAAUGAGUGUUGGCUUUGCUGAUUCUGAUGGAAUUGGAAUUCAGGAUUCCGUUCCAUGUUUGAUGGAUUUCUCGGGGAGGGUGGAAGGAACCCAAUUCCAUUCGUCUUUUUCUAUCAAGAAAACAGAUAACCCUCGUUGGAAUAAAAAAACAAUAGUUCAAUAUACAUAUUUAGAAUAAGCAAACAAUAAAUAAGUAUACAUAAAAAUUCAAAAACUGUAUGAUUUUUAAUUUUUUAUUGUAUGGACUUGUGCUUUGCUUGCAGCCUAAACCCUUCCCAACUUCCACAAUUCCCAGUAUUUCAAAAACAAAGAAAGCAGACACAACACCAAGGAGUAGAGCCUCUUCAUCUAGCAAGUACAGGGCUGUUGUUGUUACAUACAUGUAUAUUUCAACCAAAUUCCUUCGAAUUUCAAGUAGCACAUGGUUAAGUUACUGGACAGAGCAAAGCACUACAACAGCUCGAGGCCCCGCUUUUCACAUUCUCAUCUAUGCCCUCUUGUCCAUUGGACAGUUCUGUAUGUUGCUGUUAUUAUUACAUCAAGUCAAAUCAGAUGACACAUCAAUAUUUUGUUACCAGUCAAAUUUGUGAAAAAUUCUAAUCUUAUUUUCUGGUGAUUUAUUUCAAUUUUAUUUUUUAAUUUAUUGUUUGUGUAUUAUGGGGACCUGUGGUCUAACUUCUUCAACUUCAUUUUUCUCUGAAUGACAUGACAGUACUUACAUGGCGUCACUAAGUUCACUAUAGACGGUUGCGAAAUCCUUCGUCAGGUAAGAUUUAGUUAUAAGAUUCUUUUUUUAUUUGGAUUUUAUUUAUGAUUUUAUUCAUGAUUUGAUGAAAUGCUUGGUUGAAGAUGAUUGAGAAGGGUAAAAUAGUCAUUUGCACUAGUUUAUCUUUUGUUCAAAUCUGAUCGGGUGUAAUAGUAAAAAAUGAGCUACAUGCUGCUCUUUCUCUCUUAAAUAUAGCAGUUGCAUCAAAGCUUUUUGCUGCCAUGGAUCCAGAUCAGGUACUUCCUCUUGACCAGAAGGGUAAAAUAGUCAUUUGUUUGUUACUGUUCAAGAUUUGACAAUUAUUAUUAAAAUAAACCUCCUGGAAUGCCUUUAUGAACCACCUAGGCUGGUGAGCUAUCUUCCCAUUUAAAUACACAUCUUUCUAUCAUUAAAGACAAAAUGCUUUUUUUAACUCAAAAUAACCACCAAGUUAUAAUUUUACUCUUGAAUAUUUGAUUAUAUUUGCAAUUUUAGACCAUUAAUUGCUUCACUUUGGCAUGAUUUUUUUUACUUUUCCACUCUCAGGCAGUAGCGGGACCAUGCCAUAGCAUCACCCUGACUUCCAAUGGUUUUGUUUCCAUUAUUUGGCUGGUGGACUAUUAUCUUUCAUGUCUGAGUUUGUUCUUAAGUGCUAUUGGCUACUUGUUGUUCCUUUGAAGGGGUAUGAUUCUCAUCACAUCACUGAAGAGCAUCUAGGUGGCAAAAUAAUAUCACGUUCUGUUCUGCUUUUUGCCUUUGAAACUGCAAGAGAUGCCGGAGCCCUUAGAGAACCCAAGGACAAACUGGAGAAGUGAGUUGAAGAGCUGACAUGGAGAUUAGACUUUUCAAAACAUUUGAGGGUAUAGUUUUUUAUAUUUCUUGUAUCUAAUUAGUUUGUAAAUUUUUGUUACAACCAUUGAUUUGUUUUGUCUUUCCAUGGAACGAUUAUUUGUAUGACAUUAAAUUUUACGCAAUGGAUUGUAUUUUUUGUAUA